rnacentral:rRNA from 1 species
GAUGAACGCUGGCUACAGGCUUAACACAUGCAAGUCGAGGGGAAACGACGGGGAAGCUUGCUUCCCCGGGCGUCGACCGGCGCACGGGUGAGUAACGCGUAUCCAACCUGCCUCUGACUGAGGGAUAACCCGUCGAAAGUCGGCCUAAUACCUCAUGGCAUCGUCUGCGGGCAUCCAACGACGAUUAAAGAUUUCAUCGGUCAGGGAUGGGGCUGCGUCUGAUUAGCUUGUUGGCGGGGUAACGGCCCACCAAGGCUACGAUCAGUAGGGGUUCUGAGAGGAAGGUCCCCCACAUUGGAACUGAGACACGGUCCAAACUCCUACGGGAGGCAGCAGUGAGGAAUAUUGGUCAAUGGGCGGGAGCCUGAACCAGCCAAGUAGCGUGCAGGAUGACGGCCCUAUGGGUUGUAAACUGCUUUUAUGCGGGGAUAAAGUGAGGGACGUGUCCUUCAUUGCAGGUACCGCAUGAAUAAGGACCGGCUAAUUCCGUG